rnacentral:rRNA from 1 species
CCUACGGGAGGCAGCAGCAGGGNAAUCUUGCGCAAUGGGCGAAAGCCUGACGCAGCGACACCGCGUGAAGGAAGAAGGCUUUCGGGUCGUAAACUUCUUUUCUCGGGGAAGAGAACGGACGGUACCCGAGGAAUAAGCAUCGGCUAACUACGUGCCGGCAGCCGCGGUAAUACGUAGGAUGCAAGCGUUGUCCGGAUUUACUGGGCGUAAAGGGCGAGUAGGCGGCUUGGCAAGUCUCAUGUGAAAUCUCCCGGCUCAACUGGGAGGGGUCAUGAGAAACUGCCAGGCUCGAGGUCGGCAGAGGAAAGCGGAAUUCCCGGAGUAGCGGUGGUAUGCGUAGAUACCGGGAGGAACACCAGAGGCGAAGGCGGCUUUCUGGGCUGCACCUGACGCUGAGGCGCGAAAGCGUGGGGAGCGAACCGGAUUAGAUACCCGGGUAGUCCACGCCCUAAACGAUGGAUACUAGACAUGGGGGGUAUCGACCCCCUCUGUGUCGUAGUUAACGCGUUAAGUAUCCCGCCUGGGGAGUACGGCCGCAAGGCUAAAACUCAAAGGAAUUGACGG